UCCAUUUUGCCUAAAAAUGACAGAAUUUCCUCCAUUUUUACUCAAAAAAUUCCGUCAUUUUUAGUCAGUUUUCGUGUAGUGGUAGUUUUUAGGUGGUAAUGUGUUGUCCUCAAUGACCUCCGCAAUUAAUGCUUUUAGUAAAUCGACUUCAUAGAUAUCAUAUUUUUUAAGAAAUGUUUAUUCUCUAUGGCUUUUUCUCACAGUAGUGUGUUCUUGAAACUCCCUAAUGUCAUUUAUAGAAAUAUUAUGUUCAGUGUGUUCAAGUAUAGUUUGUUCUGAUGAAACUGUUCCAGUGUUGGUUAUACUCUUAGAAGUUUCUAAACUUAUAUUUUCACUUGGUGACUGAUGGUGUUCAGAAAAUGUUGUAGAGUUGUUUAAGUUAGGGCUAGAUCUGUCCUGAUCAGAAGAUAAAUUAUCUUUUAUACCUAUUUCUUGCCCAAUCAAUGGUGUGAUAUAUGAGUUAUCUUGUUGUAACUAAAUGUUAUCUGGUAAUAUCCUAGGUUCUUCAUUUGUGGGAAUCGGUAAGUGUGUUAAUUUGACUAUUUGCUCACUAGAGUUCUCAAUUUUAUAGUCUUUAAACGGAUAAAUAUCUUC
rnacentral:lncRNA from 1 species